rnacentral:rRNA from 1 species
CAACCAUACCAUGCUGAAUAUACCGGUUCUCGUUCGAUCACCGAAGUCAGGCAUCAUUGGGCACGGUCAGUACUGGGAGGGUGACCACCUGGUAACACCGCGUGCCGUU